GACCACAGACCCAUUUUCCAAAGGCACGAUAAAUGUUCCCUAAGCUUGGACACAUGGAGAUCAAAGCAGGAUCUACUGGGCUGGAAGUCUCAGAACCCCUCCAAAUUCUGCUUCCUUGGUUGCAUUGGGUUUCCAUAGCAACCAAGGGGCUUCAGUAAAGAUGGUGAAUGGGGAAUUAAAAGCCAGAGAGAGCUGAGCAGAGAGGAGGAGUAAGUGGUGGGGAGACAGAUGGGGAGCUGGCAGGAACCCCAGGGGGAUCCCCAAGUCCCAUGUUAUUGUGGAAGGUUGUGCCAAGAAGGUCCUUUUGGUUGCUCUCCUCCCCAUCUGGGUCUCUCUGCAUCCCAAGAAGUAACUGUCUGUCUGGACAGGCCCAGAGCUGAUCGCUUGUGAGCCCCUCCCACUGGUUGGCAGAUACUGAGCAAGGCCUGGACUCUAUCCCUUAGUAAGAAACAAGAGGGAGCCCUGGGUUGACUGGGGAAACACUUGUUUCCCUUCCUCGCUUGGCUGUCCACGGGAGGAGUGUCAGGCACUAUUCCCUGCUGAGCCUGGUCCUUUGCGCUGACAUUUGGGGAUCCUGGCCUGGCUCCCAGAUCCUGGCCUGGUUAAAGAUCAGAUGGCUCAAGGGUAGGACCUAACUGGAAGGGCCUGGGUGCUACUUUGAGAUAUGCAGGAGAAGCCUGGAGGAAGCUUCAGGCAACCUGCCCCUCCCUCUGGGAAAUCCCUGAGCAUGAAGCCAGAGGAUGACAGAACCUUCAGCCUGCAAGAGAGCCUGGGAGAAUCCAUAACGUCCACCAGCAGCCUGGACACCCUGUCCUGAGACCCAAGGCAGCUGUGUGGGGAACAGUCUGGAAUGGAUCACUUGACCUUGGACAAAGGCUUCAGCUUCAACCACUUAAAUUUGACAAACACCAUCAAAUCCUACGAUAUCUUUCUUCACAAAAGAAAUCCUGUGUCUCAUCCUAACAAAUACCUGGGCUAUACUGCACCCUUCCAACUUGACUCCUGCCCUGCCUCCUUCGGUUUCUUCUACAGCCUUCCCUGGAGUCACUACCUUCUACACAGUGCCUAAGAGCGAGCCCAUGAAACAUUCAUGGUGGCUAAUCCACUGUGGAGGACCUGCUGAUGCCUGUCCUGAUAGAACUGGCAGGCCCUACAUGGUGGGAGAACCAAGCCCUACAAGUUGUCCUCUGACAUCUACCAGUGCCAUGGUGCGCCUGUGCACAUGUUAAAUAAUCUCUACAAAAUCAUCACAGGGACAGCAAGGAAUCCCAAAGCGGUUUGACUUGAACACACGUCAAAGAGUCUUCCAAUAACUUCUGGGCCGUGCUAUUGGACGAUCUCAGAUGCACACACUGGAGUAGGCUGGACCUCGGGAAAGGAAAAUGGUUCACCACCUCGUGCUUCAAGUGCUCAUUGACCUGGGUAGUUAGUGUACUAGGCAGUUAGACCAGAAUAGUUUGGGCAUCUGUCAUACUCUGUUAGUGGCAUGAGGUCAAGGAUGAGGGAAUGGUAUGGAUGUUUCUAGAGAUCCACAAUCACUUACCUCAUUUUGUCUAAGGGGUUGAGUUUUCAGGGUCUAGGAUCUUUUAAGAAAAUUUUGUGGGGCUGGAGAGAUGGCUCAGUGGUUAAGAGCGCUGACUGCUCUUCCAGAGGUCCUGAGUUCAAUCUCCAGCAACCACAUGGUGGCUCACAACCAUCUGUAAUAAGAUCUGAUGCCUUCUUUUGGUAUGUCUGAAGCUACAAUGUACUCCAUACAUAAAAUAAAUAUAUCUUUUAAAAAAAGAAAA